rnacentral:lncRNA from 1 species
AUUAUAUGAGGACUUGACCUUUUUUCCUUUCAGGAGAGGUAAUGGCACACUUGUUGAAUUAUCUAAGUUGGAGCCCUUCUCAUGGAUGGUGUCUUGGUUCAAAGAUCCAUACUUGUGAAUGAAUGGUUGAGUGUUCUCCAAAGAAUAACUUAAUCAAUUAAAACUCAACACUAACUUUUGACUAACCAUUGACUAACUUUUUUUCAUUAUGCUUUUACUUUCAAUCCAU